UACGGGGGGGGCAAGCGUUGUUCGGAAUUACUGGGCGUAAAGGGCUCGUAGGCGGCCAACUAAGUCAGACGUGAAAGCCCUCGGCUCAACUGAGGAAGUGCAUCCGAAACUGAGUGGCUAGAGUAUGGAAGAGGGUCGCGGAAUUCCCGGUGUAGAGGUGAAAUUCGUAGAUAUCGGGAGGAACACCGGUGGCGAAGGCGGCGACCUGGGCCAAUACUGACACUGAGGUGCGAAAGCGUGGGGAGCAAACAGG
rnacentral:rRNA from 1 species